rnacentral:rRNA from 1 species
AUUGAACGCUGGCGGCAGGCCUAACACAUGCAAGUCGGACGGUAGCACAGAGAGCUUGCUCUUGGGUGACGAGUGGCGGACGGGUGAGUAAUGUCUGGGGAUCUGCCCGAUAGAGGGGGAUAACCACUGGAAACGGUGGCUAAUACCGCAUAACGUCGCAAGACCAAAGAGGGGGACCUUCGGGCCUCCCACUAUCGGAUGAACCCAGAUGGGAUUAGCUAGUAGGGGGGGUAAUGGCCCACCUAGGCGACGAUCCCUAGCUGGGCUGAGAGGAUGACCAGCCACACUGGAACUGAGACACGGUCCAGACUCCUACGGGAGGCAGCGGUGGGGAAUAUUGCACAAUGGGCGCAAGCCUGAUGCAGCCAUGCCGCGUGUAUGAAGAAGGCCUUCGGGUUGUAAAGUACUUUCAGCGGGGAGGAAGGCGGUGCGGUUAAUAACCGCGUCGAUUGACGUUACCCGCAGAAGAAGCACCGGCUAACUCCGUGCCAGCAGCCGCGGUAA